GGCAACCUUGACACAUUAGACAUCAUCUAUGUCCCUUUUUCACCUUAAGAAAAAAAUAGAAAGAAAGAAAAGGGAAAAAAGAAGAAAAUAUAGAAAGAGCAGAAGCUUUAAAAAGGUCAGGUCAAAGUUGGACUUUGUCUUUCCAGUGCAGUAAAACAUACUAUUUUCAGACAGCUCAUACUGUCAAGGUCCUUGCUAAUAACAGUUAUUCAAAACAGACCAAUAUACCCCUAACAACAAGUCCAUAAACAGAGAGCUAACUACAAGCAUCUGGACUCAGACUUUUGUAAUUCAUGCUGUUAUUAAUGUCCACUCAAAGAUCCCCACUGAGAUUUCUGGCAGAGUUAAGAAAAUCCCUGAAUCUCAUAAGCGAAUUGCAAAAUGGCAGCUGGUCUGGAGAUGAAAGGUAUGACUGCAAAAGAGAAUGCACUAAAAGUGAAAUGGGAUGCUACAGCUGCAACAGGUAGCAGGUAAAGAUCGCAACAUCAAAGAAAAAGCAACAGUUAAGUCAAUUUAUUUGUGGUGAGGUUCAGGACAAGAAAAACAACAUAAGAAUA
rnacentral:lncRNA from 1 species